UGGGGAAUAUUGGACAAUGGGCGAAAGCCUGAUCCAGCAAUGCCGCGUGCAGGAAGAAGGCCUUCGGGUUGUAAACUGCUUUUGUACGGAACGAAAAGGCUCUUUCUAAUAAAGAGGGCCCAUGACGGUACCGUAAGAAUAAGCACCGGCUAACUACGUGCCAGCAGCCGCGGUAAUACGUAGGGUGCGAGCGUUAAUCGGAAUUACUGGGCGUAAAGCGUGCGCAGGCGGUUCUAUAAGACAGAUGUGAAAUCCCCGGGCUCAACCUGGGAAUGGCAUUUGUGACUGUAGAGCUAGAGUACGGUAGAGGGGGAUGGAAUUCCGCGUGUAGCAGUGAAAUGCGUAGAUAUGCGGAGGAACACCGAUGGCGAAGGCAAUCCCCUGGACCUGUACUGACGCUCAUGCACGAAAGCGUGGGGAGCAAACAGGAUUAGAUACCCAAGUAGUCCCUGAGCGGGCUGGCAAGGCGCAU
rnacentral:rRNA from 1 species